GGGUUGUGAGGUUAAGCGACUAAGCGUACACGGUGGAUGCCCUGGCAGUCAGAGGCGAUGAAGGACGUGCUAAUCUGCGAUAAGCGUCGGUAAGGUGAUAUGAACCGUUAUAACCGGCGAUUUCCGAAUGGGGAAACCCAGUGUGAUUCGUCACACUAUCGUUAACUGAAUACAUAGGUUAACGAAGCGAACCGGGGGAACUGAAACAUCUAAGUACCCCGAGGAAAAGAAA
rnacentral:rRNA from 1 species